rnacentral:tRNA from 1 species
UGCGUCUUCGUGUAAUGGUUACCACGGUUGCCUCAUGAGCAACAGAUCUCUGUUCAAGUCAGAGAGACGCAC